GCCGCCUUGGCGUAGUGGUAGCGCGUCGCACUUGUACUUUCAUAGGACGACUCCUGUGAACUGACAUGCGAAGGUCAUUCGUUCAAAUCGGGUAGGUGGCA